rnacentral:rRNA from 1 species
GACGGAGGAUGCAAGCGUUAUCCGGAAUGAUUGGGCGUAAAGCGUCCGCAGGUGGCAGUUCAAGUCUGCUGUCAAAGACCGGGGCUUAACUUCGGAAAGGCAGUGGAAACUGAACAGCUAGAGUAUGGUAGGGGCAGAGGGAAUUCCUGGUGUAGCGGUGAAAUGCGUAGAGAUCAGGAAGAACAUCGGUGGCGAAGGCGGCCGGCUGGGCUGUUGCUGACGCUGAGGCGCGACAGCGUGGGGAGCAAACAGG